rnacentral:rRNA from 1 species
UACGUAGGGGGCCAGCGUUGUCCGGAUUCAUUGGGCGUAAAGCGCGUGUAGGCGGCCAGGUAGGUCCGAUGUGAAAUCUGGAGGCUCAACCUCCAGCGGUCAUUGGAAACCAUCUGGCUAGAGUCCGGAAGAGGAGAGUGGAAUUCCUGGUGUAGCGGUGAAAUGCGCAGAUAUCAGGAAGAACACCAAUGGCGAAGGCAGCCCUCUGGGACGGUACUGACGCUGAGACGCGAAAGCGUGGGGAGCGAACAGG